rnacentral:rRNA from 1 species
GCCAGACUCCUACGGGAGGCAGCAGUGAGGAAUAUUGGUCAAUGGGCGAGAGCCUGAACCAGCCAAGUCGCGUGAGGGAGUACUGCCCUAUGGGUUGUAAACCUCUUUUGUCGGGGAGCAAAAGCCGGACGUGUCCGGCUGUGAGAGUACCCGAAGAAAAAGCAUCGGCUAACUCCGUGCCAGCAGCCGCGGUAAUACGGAGGAUGCGAGCGUUAUCCGGAUUUAUUGGGUUUAAAGGGUGCGCAGGCGGAAGAUCAAGUCAGCGGAAAAAUGGAGAGGCUCAACCUCUGCGAGCCGUUGAAACUGGUUUUCUUGAGUGAGCGAGAAGUAUGCGGAAUGCGUGGUGUAGCGGUGAAAUGCAUAGAUAUCACGCAGACCUCCGAUUGCGAAGGCAGCAUACCGGCGCUCAACUGACGCUCAUGCACUAAAGUGUGGGUAUCGAACAGGAUUAGAUACCCUGGUACC